CCUGGGCAUCCUCAAAGUCAUCAUCCUCCUGGUCAUCAUCCUGUACAUUUGGGGCUCCUGCUGCUCCAGACCCAUUGCCCUAUGCCUGCCCUUGAGGCCAAGCCAUCGCACUAUGAAACUCGUCCAUAGUCCACCUGUGCACUAGUGGCGUGUUGUAUAGUCCUAUAAUCAUCUCAGUAGUGGCCACCUGCCCUCUGCGGAGGGACUCCAUCCUUGCCUCGAUCAUGGACAUAUACAUGUCCCUCAUCUGGAAAGGCUCAGGCUGCUGCGCCGGUGCAUCUGCAGGCUCAUCCUCCUGCUGUGAUGCUGCCCUCCUAGGACGUCUCCUAGGAACUGCUCCAGCUGGCUCAUCACCUACUGAUGAUAUUAGGAGACAUCAAUAGCUUUCCUCGGCCUCUAAUAGGGUGGAACUGUAGUGUCCACUCCGGCUUGUUGGCACAAAUAUGUGAUCAGAGACGGAUGUCCUAGUGGUGUCUUGCUACGAACAAUAUUAGCGCAGCUCAAAAUUUCACUGGUGAUAAUCUUGCCAAC
rnacentral:lncRNA from 1 species